GGCCGCGUUCAACUGGUAUGUCCUGAGUAUAGUCAAAGGGCUCAGGCACCCUUACAUCCUCCGCAGAGGGGAAGUGUAUCUUUCCUCUGCCACCCAUCCCAUAAAUAUGAGGAACGGGGGCACUUGUGCUGGCAGGUUUGUCGGAAGAGUCCCUAGCAUGCUUAGGGUGCUUCCUCUUUCUCUUCUUUGGCCUCUCAGAUUCAUCAUCCGGCCUAUCAACAUCCACCACCUCAACAGGUGGAAAAUCUUCAAUCUCAGCCCCCGAGUUUAGGGGCAACAUCUGCGAUUUAGGCAUUGAACUCGCCAAUGUUUGUGCGGAACUCACCGAUCCCAGUGUAA
rnacentral:lncRNA from 1 species